AUUGAACGCUGGCGGCAGGCUUAACACAUGCAAGUCGAGCGGGGUGAUGGUGCUUGCACUAUCACUUAGCGGCGGACGGGUGAGUAAUGCUUAGGAAUCUGCCUAUUAGUGGGGGACAACAUCUCGAAAGGGAUGCUAAUACCGCAUACGUCCUACGGGAGAAAGCAGGGGAUCACUUGUGACCUUGCGCUAAUAGAUGAGCCUAAGUCGGAUUAGCUAGUUGGUAGGGUAAAGGCCUACCAAGGCGACGAUCUGUAGCGGGUCUGAGAGGAUGAGCCGCCACACUGGGACUGAGACACGGCCCAGAAUCCUACGGGAGGCAGCAGUGGGGAAUAUUGGACAAUGGGGGGAACCCUGAUCCAGCCAUGCCGCGUGUGUGAAGAAGGCCUUAUGGUUGUAAAGCACUUUAAGCGAGGAGGAGGCUCUUUUGGUUAAUACCCAAGAUGAGUGGACGUUACUCGCAGAAUAAGCACCGGCUAACUCUGUGCCAGCCGCCGCGGUAA
rnacentral:rRNA from 1 species